ACCGGUAACUCCAUGGUUUGGCUAUCAGAGACUCUUAAUUUGUGCUCUAACCAGUUUGCAAAAUUCAUGUUUAGACAUGAGCCAAACCAGAUUUUCGCCGCUCUAUAACAAUUCAUGAAACUAUGGUUGAUAGAUUUUAUUUUGUUGCUGCAUCUAGGACAAACAAUAGGACAAGUAAUCCCUCUUUUACAUAAUUCUUCUCUAACUAGAAUCGCACAGUAUUGUUUGUUUGUUAUUUGAAACACUUGGAUUUUCAGCUCUUUUCCACUGCUUCAUGUUAUAGUAGCCCGAUCUAACCGUGUACCUACCGUCCUUGGUUCCGUUGCAGCAAAAACUAUCCUCCUUACUAAUAUGAAUUUGUUUUAUUUGCUCUACCUCAAAGUUGUAGAACAUAUUAUCAAUAAUGUUGUGGUUCCAACUAUUAGUUCCCUCAUCCAAUGUCUUAUGUGUUAGGACUUUAAACCCAUUUUGGUAAUGCAACCAAUUGUCUUGCCACAUAUUAAUCGAAUUUCCAUAACCCACCAACCAAUAACAAUCUUUCUUUUGGAUCCAGUUAGCAUGUUGAAUGGUUUGCCAAGUGUAGCUAGGUUUGCUGCCCAAAGAAGCUUUAAGGAAAACCUUUCUAGAGUAGUAUCUAGUUUUCAAAAAAUCAUUGAAAUAAGGUUCUCAAGCUGGGUUAGUUUAUUAUGUCAAGAACAAUGACAGUGCAAAUUGGUAUACUGCGGUAAAAGUCAAAGCAAGAAAUGUUUUUGAUUUUCCACAAGAUGAAGAUGACUCAGAGCCAUAUCAAUUGAAUGAGUUCAACAAUACACGUAUAGCAGGAGAAGCUUCAUCAUUGGACCAAGCUGAGAUUCUAAAUAGAUAUGAUAUUGAUGGAACAUACUUAGCUGAACAUAUUGUUAGUCAAGCAGAAGAGCUCGGAGAAUCAGACGAUGCAAGUGACUUUGAUACUGAUGAUGAUUACGAAGAUGAAUCUUCUAUAGAUGAGGAUGAUUAUGUAGAGAAUGUAAACUCUGAGCCAGAAUAAAAAGAUUUUUUUAGUACUA